rnacentral:rRNA from 1 species
UACGAAGGGUGCAAGCGUUACUCGGAAUUACUGGGCGUAAAGCGUGCGUAGGCGGUUCGUUAAGUCCGUUGUGAAAGCCCUGGGCUCAACCUGGGAAUGGCAGUGGAUACUGGCGAGCUAGAGUGUGAUGGAGGAUGGUGGAAUUCCCGGUGUAGCGGUGAAAUGCGUAGAGAUCGGGAGGAACACCAGUGGCGAAGGCGGCCAUCUGGAUCAACACUGACGCUGUGGCACGAAAGCGUGGGGAGCAAACAGG